rnacentral:rRNA from 1 species
GUGAGGAAUAUUGGUCAAUGGGCUUACGCCUGAACCAGCCAAGUCGCGUGAGGGAAGACUGCCCUAUGGGUUGUAAACCUCUUUUGUCAGGGAGCAAUUGGCGCUACGUGUAGCGUUAUCGAGAGUACCUGAAGAAAAAGCAUCGGCUAACUCCGUGCCAGCAGCCGCGGUAAUACGGAGGAUGCGAGCGUUAUCCGGAUUUAUUGGGUUUAAAGGGUGCGUAGGCGGAAUGCCAAGUCAGCGGUAAAAUCGCGGGGCUCAACCUCGCUCCGCCGUUGAAACUGGCGUUCUUGAGUGGGCGAGAAGUAUGCGGAAUGCGUGGUGUAGCGGUGAAAUGCAUAGAUAUCACGCAGAACUCCGAUUGCGAAGGCAGCAUACCGGCGCCCAACUGACGCUGAAGCACGAAAGCGUGGGUAUCGAACAGGAUUAGAAACCCCAGUAGUCC